UACGAGGGGGGGCAAGCGUUUGUUCGGAAUUAUUGGGCGUAAAGGGCGCGUAGGCGGUUUGACAAGUCUGAUGUGAAAUCUAUGGGCUCAACCCAUAGCCUGCAUUAGAAACUGUCGGGCUUGAGUAUGGGAGAGGUGAGUGGAAUUUCCGGUGUAGCGGUGAAAUGCGUAGAUAUCGGAAGGAACACCUGUGGCGAAAGCGGCUCACUGGACCAUAACUGACGCUGAGGCGCGAAAGCUAGGGGGAGCAAACAGG
rnacentral:rRNA from 1 species